ACGAACGCUGGCAGCGUGGAUUAGGCAUGCAAGUCGAACGUGAAGCCGAUGAACAAUCUUUCGGGAGAGUGAUUCGGUGGAAAGUGGCGAAAGGGUGAGUAACGCGUGGGUAAGCUAUCUUGAAGUUUGGGACAACCCGCCGAAAGGCGGGCUAAUACCGAAUGUGGUCGCUGGAUGCAUAUCCGGAUGAUUAAAGGUGGGGCUCCUUUUGGACCUGCCGCUUUUAGAGGUGCCCGCGUGCCAUCAGCUAGUUGGUAGGGUAACGGCCUACCAAGGCUUACGGGUAGCUGGUCUGAGAGGAUGGUCAGCCACACUGGGACUGAGACACUGCCCAGACUCCUACGGGAGGCUGCAGUCGAGAAUCAUUCGCAAUGCACGAAAGUGCGACGAUGCGACGCCGCGUGGAGGAUGAAGGCCUUCGGGUCGUAAACUCCUGUCAUAAGGGAGUAAUAGCCUUACGGUUAAUAACCGUUCGGUGUGAUAGUACCUUAAGAGGAAGCCACGGCUAACUCUGUGCCAGCAGCCGCGGUAAUACAGAGGUGGCAAGCGUUGUUCGGAUUUACUGGGCGUAAAGGGUGCGUAGGCGGUUUCGUAUGUCGGAUGUGAAAGAUCCAGGCUCAACCUGGAAAUUGCAUUCGAAACUGCGGAACUAGAGUACUGGAGAGGUGAGCGGAAUUCUCGGUGUAGCGGUGAAAUGCGUAGAUAUCGAGAGGAACGCCGGUGGUGAAGAGCGGCUCACUGGACAGAUACUGACGCUGAGGCACGAAAGCUGGGGGAGCGAACAGGAUUAGAUACCCUGGUAGUCCCAGCCGUAAACGUUGUGUACUUGGUGUGGGGGGAAUUGUCCCCCUCCGUGCCGGAGCUAACGCGUUAAGUACACCGCCUGGGGAGUACGGUCGCAAGGCUAAAACUCAAAGAAAUUGACGGGGGCCCGCACAAGCGGAGGAGCAUGUGGCUUAAUUCGAUGCAACGCGAAGAACCUUACCAGGGCUUGACAUGUAACUGCACGUCCUGUGAAAGCGGGGAAUCCUUCGAGGGUGGUAUACAGGUGCUGCAUGGCUGUCGUCAGUUCGUGCCGUGAGGUGUUGGGUUAAGUCCCGCAACGAACGCAACCCCUAUGUUUAGUUGCCACCGCCGGUGAUUCAUCGGGGCGCACUCUAGACAGACUGCCCGUGCAAUCGGGAGGAAGGUGGGGAUGACGUCAAGUCAGUAUGGCCCUUACGCCCUGGGCUGCACACGUGCUACAAUGGCCGGUCCAGAGGGACGCAAUAUCGCGAGAUGGAGCAAAUCCUCAAAGUCGGCCUCAGUUCGGAUUGGAGUCUGCAAUUCGACUCCAUGAAGUUGGAUUCGCUAGUAACGGCGUAUCAGCUACGACGCCGUGAAUACGUUCCCGGGCCUUGUACACACCGCCCGUCACAUCAUGAAAGCCGUCUGCACCCGAAGUCGCUGAUCCAACCCGCAAGGGAGGUAGGUGCCGAAGGUGUGGGUGGUGAUUGGGAUGA
rnacentral:rRNA from 1 species